rnacentral:sRNA from 1 species
GAAAAGGCCAUCUUUCCCCCCGGUAAAAUGGCCAUAUAGCAGUCCCCCCCCCCCCUGAAAAAUGGCUAUAUAGCAGGAAAGCUGACUAUAUAGUGGGUUUUCCCCCUUUUUAUAGCCAGAUUACCCCCACAGAAAACCUACUAUAUAGUAGAUUUUCCCCCUUUUCUAAAAUUCCGGUCAUGUUUAUGGCGGACCAUUCGUGGCAAUAAUUUGCAAUAACUGAUAUGAUUUUAAUUUCUCAUAAUAAAGGAUAAUUAUGCCAUUUAUUCAUACUUAGAAUAAAAUACAUGGUUUUUUCACCCCUGAUAUGAACAAAGGCACGCGCCUUCAUAACAUUCCUGUGUCAUCAACAUUUAUUUCACCUUUUGUUACACCUUUUUGGAACACCUUUUACACGGAUUUCGGAAUACCUCGAAUCUUUUUCAUCUAAUCGAUGCUUAUCUACAGUUUUGACUACGACGUUAUGACAUUGACAUUUUUCACAGAACACGUCAGAAUACAUUUGAGUUAAAAUAUGCCGGUUUGGAAUUCUAAUUUUCCCAUGUAUUAUCAUCUAUGUAUAAGCUCCUCCCAGGAAACUAACUGACCAAUCUUUACUUAAUUUUGUAGAGGAAGGGAAUAAGAAUAAAUUUAUACCGUUAGAGUUGAAGAUCUUGAAUAUAAUCGUAUAUUUGUACUUCUAAAUAUCAAACGAGAGAAAGCGUGCAAUGAUAUGAUGAGAAACUGAAAUGUUUUCCUUCGACUGAUGGGGUUCUAAAUUAUGGGUAAGGGGUAUUAUAAUUGAUAAUGUAUUAAAGGCAUGUGUAAAGUUAGUAUUUACAAUUUUGUUUUAAAGUCACGCAUAUUCAUAUUCAUGUCUUUAAGCACAUUUUUUUUACGAAACGCGAGGUUUUAUGAUGUAAACAUUUUUUUUAAUGUAACUUUACAACCAGAACAAAGUCGGUAUCUUUGCUGGUUACUUUGGAAAAUGUGAAAUGGAGCCUGAACUAACCUUAUGUAUAUAUUAUCAUUCCCCGCCUGUUAAUUUUUCCGCUUUUUAUUUUGCAACGUGAUUUAUAAAUAUACAAUUCUGAAAACGAUGCCAUAUAAAAAAAAGAUAUACGAUUCACUUACCUAAAAAUCGUAUCAUACUAUUUAUUUCAUAUUUUUGCAAUAAAGAUAUACUUGUAUACCAUAUUAUUUCUUCGAAUAAUGAAACAUAAAAUUUAAUUAAAAAUUAUAACUAACACAUUUUUUACACUAAAUUAUAACUAACACAUUUAUGAGCUGACUUAUUUUGUUUUAAUAUAAGCAUGUUCCUCUAAUCAAUUGGCAAGUAAAAAAAAGCCGUAUAUCAAGUGCGCUUUUGUUGGUUAUUUAUUUUUGUUUUUCGGUUGCUACUUUUAUGAAUAAAAAUUUAUUGAUUU